ACGACGAUUAAUAUUGUCGGAGAACAGGAUCCGUAUUCCGGCCGGAAUCAACGAACGAGAUCCGUAUUCCGCCGCACAAGUUUCUGGCUUGGCAAGAUUGAAACUCAUCCCUCGAAAAAUAUGAGGUAUUCUUUUUCCUAAUAAAUUGGAUGAAUUACUUGAUGAAUUGUUUUCCUUGAAUUGGGCGGCGGAGAAGAACGGUGGUGAGAGGUUUUGCUUUUAUUUUUUAUUUUUUUAGUUUGUAUAUAUUUUGAUUUGUAUAUAUUUACUGCAUUUAUAUGAUGAAAAUUAAUCUUU